AGACAACAAAUUUGGCCAACAACCAUUGCACACCUGCCCUAGCUUGCUCACCCAGGUAUUCUUCAAAGAGCAGCCUCCUCCCUCCUACCCAGAAGAAUUCUGGAUGACAAGUACUGGGCAAGGCGCAGAAAGAACAACAUGGCAGCCAAGCGCUCCCGUGACGCCCGGAGGCUGAAGGAGAACCAGAUCGCCAUCCGGGCCUCGUUCCUGGAGAAGGAGAACUCGGCCCUCCGCCAGGAGGUGGCUGACUUGAGGAAGGAGCUGGGCAAAUGCAAGAACAUACUUGCCAAGUAUGAGGCCAGGCACGGGCCCCUGUAGGAUGGCAUUUUUGCAGGCUGGCUUUGGAAUAGAUGGACAGUUUGUUUCCUGUCUGAUAGCACGACACCCAAACCAACCUUUCUGACAUCAGCACUUUACCAGAGGCAUAAACACAACUGACUCCCAUUUUGGUGUGCAUCUGUGUGUGUGUGUGUGUAUAUGUGCUUGUGCUCAUGUGUGUGGUCAGCGGUAUGUGCGUGUGCGUGUUCCUUUGCUCUUGCCAUUUUAAGAUAGCCCUCUCAUCGUCUUUUAGUUCCAACAAAG
rnacentral:sRNA from 1 species